AUAAUGUAGAAUCAGUGCCAAAGAAACAGUUGGGUCCCUCCCUUGGUAUGAAAAAAUCAUCUAGUUUGGAAUCCCUGCAAACCAUGGUUCAUGGAAUUCAGAUGGCUGAAGAUGGUGAGGUUUAUCAUCGAACUGGUCAAGGCUCAGUGCGGGUAAUUCGAGGUCGUGGCUGCAACGAAGUUUUCGUGCAGCUGUUGAUCGUAGCUAUGACACGCCUUUUUCGCUUCCCCAUGAACUUCAAAUGGAUAUUCUUGCAGAAGAUGAGAGAGAAUCACAUGCUUCACUGGAAUUCAACAGGAUGAAACAGAACUCUGGUAAAAAGAAAGCAGGUCUUCUCAAAGGAAUAGGAUCAAUGUUCAGGUUUGGGAAGCACAGGAAAUCCAUGGAUUCGUCUGGACCAGCUUCCCAUCUUGGUAUUGGAAGUAGGGAGCCAGGAGGUGCCCUAGAAGAAGAGCGUGAAAACGCUCGGAGGGCUGCCCGCGAAGAACAGAUCAGAAUCCAGGAGCAAUACAAGCGGCUCAUUCAAAACAAAACGAGCAACAACAAGUCAGUAUCCCUAUUUCCAUAAACCUUUAUUUUUUGCUUUUUUAACCUGUGAUAAGUCAUCGCUCAUGACCAGUUGCCUGGCACAUCACCUGUCAGUGACUCUAAAAAUGCAAAUUUUUAACUUACUCGGCUACAUAGAGCUAUUCUGACUAAACCCAGGAUGGCUUUAGUUACGGACAAUCUAGGAAAUUGGGAAAAUUCAGGGUAAAGUCUCGUUCACUAAAGUAGCUAAAUUUUAUAAGUGGCACUCAGCUUGUCUCCUACCUGGACCAAAAAUUUUUGAAAUUAAAAUUAAAUAAAUCAAAAUUAAAUUUUUGUUGGUAAAGCUUUUAGAAAAUUCUAUUUUUUUAGAAGAGCUGUCUCGUCUUUCCAGGAUGUUCAGUCUCUUCUCACUUUGUUUAAGUUUUUAGUGCUGCCAAUUUUAACUUAUGCUUCUCCUAUUUGGUUCCCUCAUACUUCCCAUAACAUUUGUAAACUUGAAAAGGUUCGCCAUAGUUUUUUAAGGUUUGCAUCCUAUUGCACUAAUAGCCCCUUAGGAAUCCAUGAUCAUUUUUAUGGAGAUAUUGCUAAACAUCUGAACUUAUGCUCCCUAGUCUCUAUGUAGAGUUAUUAUGAUCUCAUGUUUUUGUUUAAACUUGUUAGAUUCUCCUACUCUUCUUAGCUACAUACAUUUCCAUGUUCCUCCGAGAUCUUUGCAAAACUUAAAUCGUCUAUUUGUUAUCCCCUCACAUAUUGUCAUCUGGAAGCAUAGAUCUGUUAUUCCCAGAAUUUCAGAUUUUGCAAAUAGCUGUACGGAAUGAAUACAAUUUUACGGCUUAAGUAUCUCGAAUUUUCAGUCUUUGAUGAAAGAACGGGUUCUAAUUACUUAUUAGUCACAUUCUCUUUGCCCGUUUUGUUGUAUGUUUUGUUGCCUUUGUUUUUAUUGAAGUUUUAUGUAAUUGGGACUUGUCCCGUUGAAAUUGAAAUAAAUAAAUAAAUAAAUUAUUAUUAAUCAUCAUACAUCGACUUAAAGGUCAGGAAUUUCCUUAAAAUUGGGGGGGGGGGGGAUCAGGAAGUGUCAAUUCUAAAUUUUUUUAGCCACCUUGCAUAUGGCAGUUUUGUUGGUUAAGUUUAGUGUGAAAAUUGCUCCAGUAAUUUCAUCAGUCACAUGUAUUUAACAUGUUCCCUGCCAUUGCGUUUUGCGUGUUAGUGUUUUCUUGGUAUUGGAAUGUGACAGUAAUAAACCUUUGUUCAAGAAGAUCUGUUCGGCAACAUCUGUACGUGAGAGUUACUUUAACUUGCUUGACAUGGAAUAUAUUAGAUGAAUCUGGAACAUAUCUGUCCUAAUAUAAGUUCAUAAUAGAUGAAGUCAAUAAAGAAUGGGCCACUAGACAUG
rnacentral:lncRNA from 1 species